UUGUAUCCCAUGUUAGAUUGCUGUGAAACGGAUCUGAACGUUAGUCCAGAGCUUAAAGAUUGGCACAUUGGGGUCAUUGUUUUUUUUUUUCCAGAAAGGUAGAACCCCAAUUACUGUGAGAUUUCGAUUGGUUAAUUGGCAAACAUAUUCUCACGGAUUUUAAAUUGUCGCGUUUAAGGUUUUAUCCCCUGUAUAAAUGUUGUUUAACUACUCACAACGUAAGUCCGACCUGCAAAAGUCGGCAAACUAGGGUCAUUGUGUAUUUCAUUUUCCAGAAAAGUGAAUUUUUAAUUACUCUUUCUGAUCAAUUUGCAUGAUGUAUUUUAAUUAAACAUUCUCGUGAAUUGUAAUUUGUAACAUGUUAGAUCAGCAAUUUGUUUUUUAAUAGCAAAGUAUUAAGCAUUAGUUACAGCGAGUUUACGGUUGUUUAAUUGACGCAGGGCAUUUGUCAUUAUAUACUCUUGAAGAACUGAAUUCGUUGUCACUCUUGUAAGGUAAAAUUGUUGUACAUGUGUAUUAGUGCCGAACGUAAGCCCGACCAGCACAAGAUUGGCACGCAACUUUGGGUCUUUUUUUCUAGGAAUGUAAAGUUUCAGGUACAGUGAGUUUACAAUCAGGGAAUUGGUUCGUGACAUUCUGAAAACUACAUUUUUGUGGAUUUUAAUUCGUUGGGUGCGUAAGUAAGCACCGAAGGCCUAGUGCAACCUGUCUCUGUCGUUGCGAUUGGCCACACCAACCGCAGUUCACUGUUACCCAAUACUGCGUACAGUGGCCAUCCAUGUAAAGAAAAUCUCUGACUAAUUCCCUCGUGGUAAUUCAUUUUCAUUCGGCACUAUUAAUAUGCGCUGCUGAGUUUCCAACACAUCGUAGGACUCAAUGAGGCAACAGGUCUUGCGGAAGUAGAUCGUAUGCUGACUUAAAGUCUUCAAUUCAAACCCUUCCUAUGUAGUCUGCUGUAUUAUUCAGAGGACCAUUGGGGAAUCCCAGAUUGAUCGUUAUUAUUCAACCUGCAUGUUGUAGUUAGGCUUAGUGUGGUUUACUUUUAUCAAACAAAUGACAGCAAGGCCUACUAAAAAUAUAUAAAAAUCACUUAGGCAUGGAUGAAUAGGCAGGGCUAGACCCAGAGGUAAUGUGUAAGACUUGUUCUGGUGAUGAAUGAUAGUCACAUGUAUUUAUAUUGAAUCUAGCCAGCUUUGGCGAGUGUUUUUGUUUUCAUAUCAACAGCCAGACUGUACCACACCGGGCAAGGACUACUUAGCGACAGUGUGUCUUACUGAGGGAGGAGAGUUGGCCAGGACGGAUUUCGGUAAUGGUGCAAAGCAAUUUAAACAUGGAAGAUCUGGAUGGUGACUUCAACCCUGUUUGUCAUGCCCAUCUUUUGGAAUUCUGGUGGUGAGUCUCCCAAAUCACAACUUCGAAAUUUUCAUUUUGCUCACUUUUUUCCAGUCUUUCCGUUUUGCACAAUACAGAGCUUUGGAUCCUUCGAGAUAGUUUUCUACACAUAUGGGAUGUGGAUGACUGGACGAUAGGCGCCGAAUUCUUGCCGAACUUCAUACACUGGAUGCUGUCCACUCGACCAGCAGCACUCUCCACGUGAUCUUUACCCCAAGCCCAUCAAAGAAGCCAGGGCACUGUACAAGGCAAGAACUACCUUCCCACCCGUAUGUCUUGCUGGCGGAAGAUGGACAUUUAACAAGACGGAGCCAUUGGAAGACGAUGAGCGAGUGGAACUAGGAAGAACUGGGUGGAGAUUUUUACUCUUUGCUUGAUUUGGGCGCCAUUUGGAAUUCUUAGGAAUGCAGAGCUUUGUCGGGCAGUUUGAGAUGGUUUACCACUUAGCGGGACGUGGAUCACUGGACGAGGAGCAGAAUCUACCUUGCUGCACACUGCACAGCGCACAACUGUCGGCCGAACUUCCUCAUCACUAACCAGAUCUUUCCUGUCGGCCCGUCAAGGUUCCUGAGGACCGACUCGAAGACACUUGUGUUUGAUCGUCGAUCAGCGUAGGGAGCUGCUCUGUACUCGUCCCACUCAACUUGGACGCGUUCUCUUAUCAUUCCGAAGAGGGAAUUUUCACCGCGUUUUUUGUGAAAAUUCACUCUGUGUGAAACUAAGGACAAGAUAUAUCCAGGGUGUUCUUUGUUCACUCUAACUUGUCUUGUCAUUAGUUCCAAUCUUUGUAAAUAUGAGUAUUGGCUCAGUGUACACAGUUCGCAACACACUACAUUUGUUGUCAAGUUUUUACACGCAUUUUGAUUAAUUUUGUUCAAAUACGAUUUCAACUUGUCAGUAUUUGUGGCAACAAUUGUUUUCUAUUACACUGAUAAACCGAUACAUCCACUUCCAAUUAAAUGAAAAGUAAUCAAGCAUAUCAAAAGCUAAGUAAUGAUAUUUUAAAAACAAAAUGCUGCAAAAAUGAGAAGAAUAUUAAUAACUUUCAGUCGAAGUGUGUGUAAACGUUCGUCCAAAUCUCUAUCUACUUUUGAAAAAUUUCAUGCUAAUGAAAAGAUAUCUAAAACUAUUUCCUGGUUUAAACAUUUAUCUACUAAGCCAAUGUAUGAAGCCCAGGAAGAAACCCGUUGGAACUAUUACUUUAAAUGUUAUUUGGUGUGUAGAAAUUUUAUUUCUUUUCCAAAAUUCCAAAUUCGUUCGCUCGCUCCAAUUACUCCAGUCAAUUGCACAAGUUGGUAAUUCGUGCCCACGAAUUACCAAUUUGUUGGCAAGAAUCAUCAGUUAGUUUCCAUGAAUUACUAAUACGUAGGCCCAAAUUAGUCUUAGUGAUUUGUUCGAACUUUAACUUGUCAAUGAAGUACGUUUGCACAGAUUACUCAUUUACUUGCAUGAAUUGCUUCAGUAAUUCUUUAGCAAAAAAUUAGUAGUUUUUCUUUGUAAGAAUUACGCCAGUAGUUCAUUAGCAACAAUUGUUAAUCCAUUCCAUUAGAAUUAAUUACUCCCUCGCACAAAUUACGAAAUUUGUUUGCUUGAAUUGCUCAGGAAGUUUCUGCGGAAACUAGUAGUUCGUGGAAAAGUUUCCAAGUCGUUCGCAAGAAUUAAGAUUUGCUUGCAUGAAUUUACGUUCGUUCCAACGAAUCUCUCCUGUGAUUUGACACAAAUCAGUAAUUUGUUUUUAUCCACAAAUUACUAAUUCACUCGCACGGGUCACUCAGUAAUCCACUCAAAUAAAUCAGUAAUUUGACCCCAUGAAGACUAAUUCGUGUGCAAAAAUGUUUUAUUUGUUCACACAAAUCUCAGAAGUAAUUCAUGUUUGCGCUCUAAUAAUUGUUAGCACAAAUUACUCCAGUGCCACAUUUACACACAUUAAUAAAGGUUUUCCACGAAUUACUAAUUUGUUAAGCACACGUUAAUAAUUUCUUUGCGCAAAUUAGUAAUCCAAGACACUAAUUUGAUUCUUCGGAAUGAAUAUAGUACUCGCUACAAUUUAAAAUUACAAAGUGAAUAACAUUUCAUCCAGUCCUUUCCUGGGGUAUCAAUAUUGUGUAAAAAAAAAAACGAUUUUGCGCAAAUUGACGCCCUACGUUCACUGCAUAUCUGUUAUCAGAGGACCAUUACACCAACACUUUUCACUUGUGUUAAAAAAUUUUGGUGUUAUUUGGUUUUACAUUUAGCACCCUCCAGUGCAUUGUAGCAGUUACAGGUGUACAAAGUAAUACCUUAUGGUGUGGUCAUCUGAUAACACCAAAAGUAUUGAUUUUAACACCACAGUUUUUGCAGUGUACGAUUACUAAAUUUGUUUAUGCAAAUUACAAUCUUUCUGUAACGUCAGAAGAAGCAACAACAGGUCAUUAUAAAAUGUAAAUUCUUUGUAAUAUCAUCUCGACGACUAGUUCAAAUAAUUCAUUUUCAUGAUAAAUCUCCCGCUCCGAAACUACUCUAAAAUUUGGAAUCACUGUUAACGCCCUCACUGCCUUAAAUACUUUAUAGAUUAACAAUCUUUAAAGGAGACAAAACUGGCAAAAAAGUGCCGUUGAUAUAGAUCAUUCAAUAUUACGGGCAUUUGCUUAAGCGCAAGUAUUAGAUAGGGGAUGGUUACACUUGUGAGAAUGGGUGCAAACGAUUUCGAAAUCGAAAGUAGCCAUCUCCCCGUUGAAGAGGGACCCCGAAAUGUACGUUUCUAAAGGCAUUUGUCCUUGAUAUGACCAAAGUUAGAUAUUUGCACUACGAGUUUCACAUAUUGUUCAGAUUUGUCAUGUUGAAAUGUAAGAAUACGGGAACAAUGUUCUGAUAACCUGAAUGAAAACUUGACAUUUAAUAUGAAAGAAGAAUAAAAGAAAAUGAAAUAAGAAUAAAAGGGUUAAAAAA